rnacentral:rRNA from 1 species
GAUGAACGCUGGCGGCGUGCCUAAUACAUGCAAGUCGAGCGAACAGAUAAGGAGCUUGCUCCUUUGACGUUAGCGGCGGACGGGUGAGUAACACGUGGGUAACCUACCUAUAAGACUGGAAUAACUCCGGGAAACCGGGGCUAAUGCCGGAUAACAUUUAGAACCGCAUGGUUCUAACGUGAAAGAUGGUUUUGCUAUCACUUAUAGAUGGACCCGCGCCGUAUUAGCUAGUUGGUAAGGUAACGGCUUACCAAGGCAACGAUACGUAGCCGACCUGAGAGGGUGAUCGGCCACACUGGAACUGAGACACGGUCCAGACUCCUACGGGAGGCAGCAGUAGGGAAUCUUCCGCAAUGGGCGAAAGCCUGACGGAGCAACGCCGCGUGAGUGAUGAAGGUCUUCGGAUCGUAAAACUCUGUUAUUAGGGAAGAACAAAUGUGUAAGUAACUGUGCACGUCUUGACGGUACCUAAUCAGAAAGCCACGGCUAACUACGUG